rnacentral:rRNA from 1 species
UACAGAGGUCUCAAGCGUUAGGCGGAAUCACUGGGCUUAAAGCGCGUGUAGGUGGAUUGGUAAGUACCUUGUGAAAUCCCACGGCUCAACCGUGGAACUGCUUGGUAUACUGCUGAUCUUGAGCUACUUAGGGGCAACUGGAACAGAUGGUGGAGCGGUGAAAUGCGUAGAUAUCAUCUGGAACGCCAAAGGUGAAGACAGGUUGCUGGGAGUAUGCUGACACUGAGACGCGAAAGCUAGGGGAGCGAACGGG